CAGAGGGCAGUUUAGGCAGAAUUUUGGCUUUGGGGGCCAAAGGCAGGAGUUUAACCCUCCUUCCUCUGA
rnacentral:tRNA from 2 species